AGUACGUAGUAGUUGACUCGUGCUCGAGANACGCUGGCGGCGUGCCUAACACAUGCAAGUCGAGCGGGGACAUACGACGGACAGGAAGUUUUUCGGGAUGGAAUGGAAGAUGUAUGUUCUAGCGGCGGACGGGUGAGUAACGCGUGAGCAACCUGUCCCUUACAGGGGGAUAACACAGCGAAAGCUGUACUAAUACCGCAUAAGACCACAGAGAGACAUCUCACAGGGGUCAAAGGAGCAAUCCGGUAAGGGUGGGCUCGCGUCCGAUUAGAUAGUUGGUGAGGUAACGGCCCACCAAGUCAACGAUCGGUAGCCGACCUGAGAGGGUGAUCGGCCACAUUGGGACUGAGACACGGCCCAAACUCCUACGGGAGGCAGCAGUGGGGAAUAUUGGGCAAUGGGGGGAACCCUGACCCAGCAACGCCGCGUGAGGGAAGAAGGUUUUCGGAUCGUAAACCUCUGUCCUUGGUGAAGAGGAAGAGACGGUAGCCAAGGAGGAAGCCCCGGCUAACUACGUGCC
rnacentral:rRNA from 1 species